AGUCGUUGACUGUCUCUGCGGU
rnacentral:miRNA from 1 species